rnacentral:rRNA from 1 species
UGGGGAAUUUUGGACAAUGGGCGCAAGCCUGAUCCAGCCAUGCCGCGUGCGGGAAGAAGGCCUUCGGGUUGUAAACCGCUUUUGUCAGGGAAGAAAUCUUCUGAGUUAAUACCUCGGGAGGAUGACGGUACCUGAAGAAUAAGCACCGGCUAACUACGUGCCAGCAGCCGCGGUAAUACGUAGGGUGCAAGCGUUAAUCGGAAUUACUGGGCGUAAAGCGUGCGCAGGCGGUUUUGUAAGACAGAGGUGAAAUCCCCGGGCUCAACCUAGGAACUGCCUUUGUGACUGCAAGGCUUGAGUGCGGCAGAGGGGGGAUGGAAUUCCGCGUGUAGCAGUGAAAUGCGUAGAUAUGCGGAGGAACACCGAUGGCGAAGGCAAUCCCCUGGGCCUGCACUGACGCUCAUGCACGAAAAGCGUGGGGAGCAAAACAGGAUUAGAUACCCUGGUAGUCCACGCCCUAAAACGAUGUCAACUGGUUGUUGGGAAGGUUCCUUCUCAGUAACGUAGCUAACGCGUGAAGUUGACCGCCUGGGGAGUACGGCCGCAAGGUUGAAACUUAAAUGAAUUGACGGGGUCAUAGCUGUUUCC